rnacentral:rRNA from 1 species
CCUACGGGAGGCAGCAGUAAGGAAUAUUGGUCAAUGGGCGCAAGCCUGAACCAGCCAUGCCGCGUGCAGGAAGACGGCCCUAUGGGUUGUAAACUGCUUUUGAACAAGAGAAAACCUCGGUACGUGUACCGAGCUGAUAGUAUUGUUAGAAUAAGCAUCGGCUAACUUCGUGCCAGCAGCCGCGGUAAGACGAAGGAUGCAAGCGUUAUCCGGAUUCAUUGGGUUUAAAGGGUGCGUAGGCGGCCUGAUAAGUCAGUGGUGAAAUCUCUCAGCUUAACUGAGAAACUGCCAUUGAUACUGUCGGGCUUGAGUACAGAUGAUGUGGGCGGAAUAUGACAUGUAGUGGUGAAAUACUUAGAUAUGUCAUAGAACACCGAUUGCGAAGGCAGCUCACAAAACUGUAACUGACGCUGAGGCACGAAAGUGCGGGGAUCAAACAGGAUUAGAUACCCUGGUAGUCCGCACCGUAAACGAUGAUUACUCGUUGUUGGCAAUAUGACCGUCAGCGACCAAGCGAAAGCGAUAAGUAAUCCACCUGGGGAGUACGCCGGCAACGGUGAAACGUCGAAAGAGAGUAGACGGNGNGAGAGNGACGACGACGACGACGGAGGGAGGAGG